UUUCUUGUUUCCUUUUCUCUGUUCUGUUUUCUUUUAUUUUUUUCGCCAACCAACUUUGACUUUUAUCUGGAUACUAUCAUUUGGAUUAAUUGCCAGAACUGAUUCUUCAAGAUAUGUAAGACCGCUAUCAUUUUGUUAUUUUGUUUUUAUAUGGUUAGUUAUUUCCUGUACUUAUAAAAGGGAAAUCAGAUAUAAAAUUAAAUCUUCCUUGUUAUUUGUUGCACUAUCGUAGCAAAUAAUUUUGGGGGCUUGUCCGGGAAACGAAAGUCAAUUUGCACAGAAAACCGAUUUGAAGCUAAAACCAGUUUUCCAGGAAACGAAAGCCAAUUUGAGACAAAAAUGAAUAUGAAUCGCUCACUAUGAGAAUAUUUUGGAAAAAUAGCAUAUCUGCAUGGGAUCUGAAUUGGGUAUGACAAAAUAUUCUACGGGCCUUCUUCUUCAGCAACAGUAGGCCUAUUCUUUUUAAUUGUGUUUUGAUCGCACAACCCCAUACCAAAAUACCAUAAUAAAUGUAUGGUAACAUUAGUGUAUGAUACAGUUUAAGUACAGUGAGAGAUGAGAAAAAAAUAUAUGAGUUUGUUGAUUUCGAUGUUUCUUGAAAUUGUUUAGCAUACAUUAUCGAUGUGUGGUUUCCAUGGUGGUAUAUUAUCAAUAUUAACCCCCCAAAAUCUGGUCUCUGAAACAUUUUCAAAAACAGUGUUAUAAAAAAUAAGAUUAUCAGGUAUAAAUACUAAAAAAAACACAUAAAAUUCGUCUUUUGUAGAUAAAGUGAUAGUUUAUUUGCCUUAAUCCAGUCAGUUGCAUGUAUGAGUUCUGAGUUUACAAUUCUUACCAUUCUUUACGCUUAAUAGAUUCCUUAUCCCUAUAUCAGAACAGAAAGAAUAUGAUUGGAAUCAUACCCCUUUAAUAUUACGCCAAAAAGGGGAAGUUCGCCUGACAAAAAGUUUAUUGUGUAAAUAGCAAAAAAUAAAAAUAAAAUGAUAGAAAUAUUGGUGUAGGAUGGAGGAAAAUCCAUCGCAGAUUUAAAAAGUCAUCAGAAUGUCAACUAUGAUUGGUGAUAUCAUUUGCGAUGGAAUGGAAUUGAUGUUUUUCCUGGAUCAUUCAGCCAAUCAAUGACCGUAAACUUUAGAAGACACGCCUCCUAUUCAUUUGAUUGCACACGACCCUAUUUACGCGCCAAUGAGGUGUGGGGGUUGUAGCGUUGUUGCCUGAAAUGAGUACUGACUUCUUUCCAAGUUCAUAUUGCUGAUUUUCGUCUUCAUCCCUGGUUGUACUCUUUUUGUUACGAUCUGACUAUUCUCAGCCACAGUAGUUUUCUGUAAG